CGGGUGCACUGAUCCGGCCGGGCCUUUCCCUCUGUGGAACCCCAUGGCCUUCACUGGCUGUGCGGGGGAAACAGGACUUUUACUGUGAAAAAAUUAGAGUGCUCCAGGCAGGCCUAUGCUCGAAUACAUUAGCAUGGAAUAAUAGAAUAGGACGCGUGGUUCUAUUUUGUUGGUUUCUAGGACCGCCGUAAUGAUUAAUAGGGACAGUCGGGGGCAUCAGUAUUCAAUUGUCAGAGGUGAAAUUCUUGGAUCUAUUGAAGACUAACUACUGCGAAAGCAUUUGCCAAGGAUGUUUUCAUUGAUAAGGAACGAAAGUUAGGGGAUCGAAGACGAUCAGAUACCGUCGUAGUCUUAACUAUAAACUAUGCCGACUAGGGAUCGGACGAUGUUAUUUCUUGACGCGUUCGGCACCUUUCGAGAAAUCAAAGUGCUUGGGCUCCAGGGGGAGUAUGGUCGCAAGGCUGAAACUUAAAGAAAUUGACGGAAGGGCACCACCAGGGGUGGAACCUGCGGCUUAAUUUGACUCAACACGGGGAAACUCACCAGGUCCAGACACAGUGAGGAUUGACAGAUUGAGAGCUCUUUCUUGAUUCUGUGGGUGGUGGUGCAUGGCCGUUCUUAGUUGGUGGAGUGAUUUGUCUGCUUAAUUGCGAUAACGAACGAGACCUUAACCUGCUAAAUAGCCCGUACUGCUCUGGCAGUUCGCCCGGCUUCUUAGAGGGACUAUCGG
rnacentral:rRNA from 1 species